UACGGGGGGGGCAAGCGUUGUUCGGAAUUACUGGGCGUAAAGGGCUCGUAGGCGGCCAACUAAGUCGGAUGUGAAAUCCCCAGGCUUAACCUGGGAACUGCAUCCGAUACUGGAUGGCUUGAAUUCGGGAGAGGGAUGCAGAAUUCCAGGUGUAGCGGUGAAAUGCGUAGAUAUCUGGAGGAACACGCGUGGCGAAAGCGAGUCACUGGACAGUAUCUGACGCUGAUGCACGAAGGCUAGGGGAGCGAAAGGG
rnacentral:rRNA from 1 species